GGAAAGUCCGGGCUUCACAGGGCAGGAUGCCGGAUAACAUCCGGCGGAGGCGACUCCCGGGACAGUGCAACAGAAAAGAACCGCCGGGCAUGCCCGGCAAGGGUGAAAAGGCGGUGUAAGAGACCACCGGCCGUCUGGUAACAGGCGGCGCCGUGUAAACCCCAUCCGAAGCAAGUGCAAACAGAAGGCAUAGGGCGGCCCGUCUGCCUUCGGGUAGCACGCUGGAGCCUGUCGGUAACGGCAGGCCUAGAUAGAUGAUCAUUCACGACAGAACCCGGCUUACAGCCCUUCUCCCCUU
rnacentral:RNase_P_RNA from 1 species